GAUGAACGCUGGCGGCGUGCCUAAUACAUGCAAGUCGAGCGAACAGACGAGGAGCUUGCUCCUCUGACGUUAGCGGCGGACGGGUGAGUAACACGUGGAUAACCUACCUAUAAGACUGGGAUAACUUCGGGAAACCGGAGCUAAUACCGGAUAAUAUAUUGAACCGCCUGGUUCAAUAGUGAAAGACGGUUUUGCUGUCACUUAUAGAUGGAUCCGCGCCGCAUUAGCUAGUUGGUAAGGUAACGGCUUACCAAGGCAACGAUGCGUAGCCGACCUGAGAGGGUGAUCGGCCACACUGGAACUGAGACACGGUCCAGACUACUACGGGAGGCAGCAGUAGGGAAUCUUCCGCAAUGGGCGAAAGCUUGACGGAGCAACGCCGAGUGAGUGAUGAAGGUCUUCGGAUCGUAAAACUCUGUUAUUAGGGAAGAACAAAUGUGUAAGUAACUAUGCACGUCUUGACGGUACCUAAUCAGAAAGCCACGGCUAACUACGUG
rnacentral:rRNA from 1 species